CAGCCGCCACGGUAAUACGGGGGGGGCAAGUGUUAUUCGGAAUGACUGGGCGUAAAGGGCACGUAGGCGGUGAAAAGGGUGGAAAGUGAAAGUCGCCAAAACACUGGCGGGGUGCUUUCUUGACCAUUUCACUUGAGUGAGAUAGGGGAGAGUGGAAUUUCGUGUGGAGGGAUCAAAUCCUAAGAUAUACGAAGGAACGCCAACCGCGAAGGCAGCUCUCUGGGUCCCCACUGACGCUGGGGUGCGAAAGCAUGGGGAGCAAACAGGAUCAGAUACCCCAGUAGUCCCUGUCUCUUAUACA
rnacentral:rRNA from 1 species